UGUUAAUAUUCCGAUACCAAUCUAUCAGGUAUGGGGUGACGGAGUAGUGUAGGUAACGCGCACGAACGGUAUGUGCGUUGAAUCCGAAAGAGUAAGAGUAUUUACAGGCAAAUCCGUAAAUAUAUCGAAAAGGAGAGAGUACGAAUAAUCUACGGAGCGUUCGAUAGUUUACCGUGUUACUUCCAAGAAAAACCUCGUUACGAUAAGCGAUAGAUUGCCCGUACCGUAAACCGACACAGGUGGUCGAGGAGAGUAUCCUCAGGCGCUCGAGUGAAUCACGGCUAAGGAACUAGGCAAAUUAACCCUGUAACUUCGGGAAAAGGGGUACCUACUUAGCGAUAAGAGGUCUCAGUAAAAAGGCCCAGGCGACUGUUUAACAAAAACACAGGACUCUGCGAAGCCGCAAGGCACAGUAUAGGGUCUGACACCUGCCCGGUGCCGGAAGGUUAAGAGGGGGUCUCAGCGCAAGCGAAGGACUGAAUCGAAGCCCCGGUAAACGGCGGCCGUAACUAUAACGGUCCUAAGGUAGCGAAAUUCCUUGUCGGGUAAGUUCCGACCUGCACGAAUGGUGUAACGAUCUGGGCACUGUCUCAGCCGUGAGCUCGGUGAAAUUGUAUUCCCGGUGAAGAUGCCGGGUACCCGCCACGGGACGGAAAGACCCCGUGAACCUUUACUAUAACUUUGCACUGUUUUUGGGUACCGGAUGUGUAGGAUAGGUGGGAGUAAUUGAAGAGUCGUCGUCAGGCGAUUUGGAUACGCCGUUGAAAUACCACCCUUCUGUUAUUCGAAAACUAACCCGAUAGGGGACACUGCAUGGCGGGUAGUUUGACUGGGGUGGUCGCCUCCGAAAGGGUAUCGGAGGCUUUCAAAGGUACCCUCAGCACGGUCGGUAAUCGUGCGCAGAGUGCAACAGCACAAGGGUGCUUGACUGUGAGACAAACAGGUCGAGCAGGGACGAAAGUCGGAUGUAGUGAUCCGGUGGUUUCGCAUGGAGGAGCCAUCGCUCAAAGGAUAAAAGGUACUCCGGGGAUAACAGGCUGAUCUCCCCCAAGAGCUCAUAUCGACGGGGGGGUUUGGCACCUCGAUGUCGGCUCGUCACAUCCCGGGGCUGGAGAAGGUUCCAAGGGUUCGGCUGUUCGCCGAUUAAAGUGGCACGCGAGCUGGGUUCAGAACGUCGUGAGACAGUUCGGUCCCUAUCUGUGGUGGGCGUAGGAAGUUUGAGGGAAGCUGACGUUAGUACGAGAGGACCGCGUCGGACCGACCGCCGGUGUGCCUGUUGUGUUGCCAAAUGCAGAGCAGGGUAGCUGUGUCGGAGACAGAUAAGCGCUGAAAGCAUCUAAGCGCGAAACUCAGCCCAAGAUAAAACUUCCCCAAAGGGGCGUAAAAGACGAUUACGUAGAUAGGCUGCAGGUGUAAAAGCAGAG
rnacentral:rRNA from 1 species